CCCGAUCUAAUCAUGGGUCCUCACAGAAGCUGUUGGAAGAAGUUGGUGACUAUAGCACAGCAAGCACAUCAGAACGGUCUAAAUUUCUAAAUAAGAUUUGAUGGUGCUUCAUCAAUGUCAAACCCCAGUCACCAAUUUUUAUAGCAGACACCAAGGUUUCAAAUCUUGAUUUAGUACGACGCUGGUUCUUGAGCGAAUCAAUUCAAUGUCGCUAUUGUGGAGCAUAUUGUGUGUUAGUGUGCCCAGGUUUUAUCGGAGGAGGAGAAGACGGAGGAAGAGGAGAUGGCGAAGGAAGAGGAGAAGAAGAGAAGGUAUUGAAACAGAUAAGGUGAUGCAUAUUGAAGAAGGAGACGGCAACAACAGCUACAUGUGAAGAAAAUGAUGGCUGUUAUGUGUGGAUUUAGAUGCAGAAGCAAAGUCGAUGGAGGUGGAGGAAAGAGUGGGGGGGAGAGCAAAUAGCUGUUGAAAUCUUUGUUUACAGAUCUCAGUUUUUAUGGGUUAUAACAACAUACAAGAUCUAGUUGCGCAAGAAAGAGAUCGAAGACAAUCUACAACAGAUGCAAAUGAUGUAUAUGAAGAAUUUGAUUUCUCAUUGACCUGUGGAAGGUUUCCGUGCAUUAAACUGGGUGAUUCCUCACUUGUUGGACUAUAUGAUGAGGUUCCACAUGCAGAAGAACAAGAGAAUCUUUUACCUCCUGAAAGCUGUAACAAAUACCUAUCUACUUCUGGUGCAAACUGGGAAAAAUGUAGUAAAUUGGUUGGCACAUGGUAUUCAGUAAGGCCUCCUCCCACAGAAACAAAUCCUUCAUCACCUAUGGAAGACAAUUCGUUCGUGGUGCAGUUAGAUUCUCGAGAAGCGGAUUCUGAUGUAGAAGGGAAGGUAGAAGAACAAGAGACUAGCAAAAACUUACUUGAAAGUUCAUCUACUGAAUCAGUUUUGGACAGAGCUAUCAGAAGUUUACCAGGGACAACCAGUAGACAAUGUUGUCAGCUUGAAGGUGGUGGCUUCUAUACGGUCCGAAAAUUGUUGCAUCAUUUCCCUCACACGUAUUCUGAUCUACUGAAUCCCUUGGAAACAAUAGAGGAAGGGCGCUAUGUGAUGCUUGUUGGAAUUAUUUUAUCUUCUAGGGGAAUCAGAGCUGGUAAAUCAUUCUCUUUCCUUGAAGUUGUUGUUGGCUGUGAGUUCCAAAAGAAUGAAGAAGAUUCUAAAAUUGAGGAUGAUUACGGCACUGAAGAUAAGAAGAUGAUUUACUUACACUUGAAGAAGUUCUUCCGUGGAACACGCUUUACAUAUCAGCCUUUUCUUAGAAGUAUCGAAUCAAAAUAUACUGAGGGAGAUUGUCUACAUGUUAGUGGUAAAGUUAGAAAGAUGCUUGCAGAAGGCCAUUAUGAAAUGACGGAGUAUGUUAUUGGUAAUCCUGAUGAGGAGGAACGGGAUGUAAAUAGGCAGAAAAUGCCAUAUCCACUCUAUCCUUCUAAAGCUGGCAUAAAACCACAAUUUCUUCGUGACAUAAUAUCAAGAGCCUUGAAGACAUUGACUGUUGACAUGGACCCCAUGCCUGAUGAGAUUCGUAAGGAUUUCAACUUGCUUAACCUUUAUGAUGCCUAUAUGGGUAUCCACCUUCCGAAGAACUUAAAUGAAGCUUAUUUAGCUCGCAGAAGACUAAUAUUUGAUGAAUUUUUUUACCUUCAGUUGGCAAAACUAUUUCAGAUGCUUGAUGCAAUUGGAACACCAAUGGAGAAGGAAAAGUUGCUGGACAAAUAUAAGAACCAUGAAUUAAACACUGUCUGUGUUAAGGAUUGGUCUGAUCUUGCUAAGAGUUUUCUAAAGGCUCUUCCGUAUUCUCUUACUCCUAGUCAGCAAAAUGCAGUUUCAGAGAUUAUUUGGGAUCUCAAGAGGCCUGUUCCGAUGAAUAGACUUCUACAGGGUGAUGUUGGGUGCGGGAAAACUGUUGUUGCAUUUUUGGCUUGUAUGGAAGUUAUAAGCUCAGGAUUUCAGGCUGCUUUUAUGGUUCCAACUGAGCUGCUUGCCAUCCAACAUUAUGAACAUUUGCUUUCUUUGUUGGAGAAUAUUGGAGGGACUGAAUGCACACCUUCUGUUGCCUUAUUAACUCGUUCUACAUCCUCAAAGCAGUCACGAAUGGUUCUCAAGGGUCUUCAGAUGGGAGAAAUAGCAAUGGUGAUUGGAACUCACCGCCUUAUAGCUGAGAAAGUUGAAUUUUCCGCUUUACGUAUCGCAGUCAUUGAUGAGCAGCAUCGCUUUGGUGUCAUCCAAAGAGGAAAAUUUAACAGUAAGUUAUAUUCUGCUUCACCAAGCUUAAGAAUGAACUGGAGAAACUUGGAUGAUUCUCUUGAAGAUAAAGCUUAUAUGGCUCCACAUGUUCUUGCAAUGUCAGCCACUCCAAUCCCAAGAACAUUGGCUUUGGCUUUAUUUGGGGAUAUGUCUCUAACUCAAAUUACAGAUUUGCCUCCUGGUCGGUCACCAGUGCAGACUUUUGCUAUUGAAGAAAAUGAAAUUGGUUUUGAGAAGGUAUUCCAGAUGAUGAGAGAUGAGUUGAUAGCAGGAGGAAAGGUAUAUCUUGUUUAUCCAAUAAUUGUAGAAUCUGAGCAACUGCCACAGCUUCAUGCUGCUACUGCUGAUUUUCAAUCAAUACCAGACAAUUUUAGAGGUUACCAAUGUGGUCUGCUGCAUGGGCGCAUGACCAGUGAUGAAAAAGAUGAUGCACUGAAAAAAUUUAGAACUGGGGAAACCCGUGUACUCCUUGCAACACAACUCAUUGAGAUUGGUGUUGAUGUCCCUGAUGCAUCUAUGAUGGUUGUUAUGAAUGCUGAGAGAUUUGGAAUUGCUCAGUUGCAUCAGUUGAGAGGACGAGUUGGAAGAGGAGAAAGAAAAUCUAAAUGUGUUUUCUUGUCUUCUACUUCUGCGGGUCUCGAUCGAUUGAAAGUACUUGAAAGAUCUUCUGAUGGAUUUUACCUGGCAAAUGCUGACCUUCUACUUCGUGGGCCUGGUGAUUUGCUUGGUAAGAAGCAAUCAGGACAUAUUCCAGAAUUUCCAAUUGCUAGAUUGGAGAUUGAUGGAAAUAUUUUACAGGAAGCUCACCUUGCUGCCUUGAAAGUUUUGGGAACAAGCAACGACCUACAGCUUUUUCCAAAGCUUCGAGCAGAGCUUAGCAUGAGGCAACCUCUGUGCGUUUUGGGUGAUUAAGGUUCUACCAAGGCUGGAGUACUUUCUGAAUUUUGGAUGAUUGAGGUUCUACCAAGGGUGACGUAUGUUUCAUGGGACGCCAAUUGAUCCAUCGGUCCAACUGACGAUUUGGCGAGAUCACUUUCCGUUCCCAUAACUUUGCUGGUUUGUCCAUACAAAAUGAUGAAGGGUGCAUUGAUACAAGCACGUAAUCUUUGGCUAAUCGUUUGCUAUCGGGAUGCCUUUUCUUAACAUUACGGUUGCAUUGUUCCGUGCUUCUGUCUGACAAAAAUUAAAAGGUUUGGUAGGUGUGGAUUACAUUGGAAUAAUGAAAGAGAAGAUUGCCACCUA